rnacentral:rRNA from 1 species
UAACGCGUGGGUAACCUGCCUUGUACUGGGGGACAACAGUUGGAAACGACUGCUAAUACCGCAUAAGCGCACAGCUUCGCAUGAAGCAGUGUGAAAAACUCCGGUGGUACAAGAUGGACCCGCGUCUGAUUAGCUGGUUGGUGAGGUAACGGCCCACCAAGGCAACGAUCAGUAGCCGGCCUGAGAGGGUGAACGGCCACAUUGGGACUGAGACACGGCCCAAACUCCUACGGGAGGCAGCAGUGGGGAAUAUUGCACAAUGGGGGAAACCCUGAUGCAGCAACGCCGCGUGAGUGAAGAAGUAUUUCGGUAUGUAAAGCUCUAUCAGCAGGAAAGAAAAUGACGGUACCUGACUAAGAAGCCCCGGCUAACUACGUGCCAGCAGCCGCGGUAAUACGUAGGGGGCAAGCGUUAUCCGGAUCUACUGGGUGUAAAGGGAGCGUAGACGGUUUUGCAAGUCUGAAGUGAAAGCCCGGGGCUUAACCCCGGGACUGCUUUGGAAACUGUAGGACUAGAGUGCAGGAGAGGUAAGUGGAAUUCCUAGUGUAGCGGUGAAAUGCGUAGAUAUUAGGAGGAACACCAGUGGCGAAGGCGGCUUACUGGACUGUAACUGACGUUGAGGCUCGAAAGCGUGGGGAGCAAACAGGAUUAGAUACCCUGGUAGUCCACGCCGUAAACGAUGAUUACUAGGUGU